GAAUGCUGACAUAAGUAACGAUAAAGCGGGUGAAAAGCCCGCUCGCCGGAAGACCAAGGGUUCCUGUCCAACGUUAAUCGGGGCAGGGUGAGUCGACCCCUAAGGCGAGGCCGAAAGGCGUAGUCGAUGGGAAACGGGUUAAUAUUCCCGUACUUGGUGUUACUGCGAAGGGGGGACGGAGAAGGCUAUGUUGGCCGGGCGACGGUUGUCCCGGUUUAAGCGUGUAGGUGUGUGUUCCAGGUAAAUCCGGUCCACUUUAACACUGAGGCGUGA
rnacentral:rRNA from 1 species